rnacentral:lncRNA from 1 species
AAUACAAUCUUUGGCUGCGACCUUACUAUGGCCGACUCAGUACAGUAGACCCCAGUUCCUUUACCACGGAGUCCCCCGCUAAUCUUUGGAGCAAGAUCGUGAUACCGGGCGACUCUAGCGACGGGCCAAUACACAGCGCUAUCUAUACUGUUAGAGGACUAACGCCCUCUACCGUCUACGAGGCAAUAGUGACCUCAAGGAAUAGAUUUGGUUGGAGUAAACCAUCUGCUAUAUUACAUUUUGCUACGGAACCUGGCUACGGCCGAAAAGUCCCGACAUCUGAUUACACAGAUAUCACGCCAAUUCUAGAAGACACAGAGCCCCAACCACACAACAUUUCCCAGGCGCAGACAUUUGAACACUUCAGUGAACUGUCAAAAGGGAAUGCGCGGGAAAAUUCGGAUACUUUAACAGUGAUUGCCGUCAGUGUUUGGUCGAUUUUAAAUAUUAGAUUAAUUUUUUAGUUUUCUAACUUUUAAGUGCAAUGAUAUGUGUUAAUUCUUAUUUUUUGAAUAAUGAUCUUGAAUUUCUAACUUUAAUCAGAUUACAACAAUUAAAAGAUUUCUUCUAAAAACAACUAAUUUGUAUAAUUUCAUGGCAGUAUAUAAGGGUCAUACUUCUGUCACGGCCUAUGAAAACGCUGUCACGGCCUAUGAAAACGCUCUUAAUUAAUUAAUUUUUAUUUAAAAAAAUCUGUCUCUGAAUAAGGUACGUGCCAUCUAUUUAAUUGUCCGAGUUCAUCAUCUGCGUAGACCCAUGGCUUGAUAUCUUUGAUGUAAAGUCAUAAGACUUAAUAAUCUGGGUAGAAGUGACACUCGUGUACUUUGUUAGUGUACCGAUGUCGAUUAAAUGAUAAAACUUCUUCUCAAUCUGAUAGGAUUGUCACAAGUUUAUAUUCAUUUAAUAAAUUACUAUGUCAUAUAUAAAUGAAAAAAUGCAAUUCCUUAUCAAAAAGUAGGGCGACUCUGCCAGUCAAGAGAAACGACGAUACAUACAAUUCAACAAUUUAUUUACAACAUGGAUUUUCAACGUGAUUGAUUUUCAUACAGACAAAUCAUAGUUGUAAUAAAGGACCUAUCAUCAACGUAAUAAAAUAAAUAAUAAAGAAUAUAUAAUCUAGGUAUAAUAAAAUAGAUCAAAUAAAUAUUAAUUAAAGUUAUAAAAAAAACAAUAAAUUUCAUUUUUGUAAUCAUAUAAUUUUUUUACGGUUGUUAAGUAAUUAUGAACAUCGGUAUUUAAAUUGGUAAAAUAGAAAAAAAAAACAAAGUCCUAUUUUGUAGUUUAAGAUUAAACAUGCUUUCUGAGUAGUGUAUGACCUUUCAGAUUAAAGGAAUCUAGUUCUUGUGGACGAACUAUUAUUGUUAAAUUGGCAGGAGUGGCACUUCUACCUACUCUCCUUUCUCUUGAUAAUGUUUUAAUGUUUAAUAAUUUACUUCUUGCCCUAUAAUGAUUGAUGUUCCUUCCAAUAGCAAGUAAGCUAGUGUAAAUAUUUAUUAUUAAAUAAGUAUACAUUAAAGGUUAUACCUAA